rnacentral:rRNA from 1 species
AUUCGUAGAGAUCGGGAGGAAUACCAGUGGCGUAGGCGCCCUUCUGGACGGUAACUGACGCUGAGACGCGAAAGCGUGGGGAGCAAACAGGAUUAGAUACCCUGGUAGUCCACGCUGUAAACGAUGAGCACUAGGUGUAGCGGGUACCCA